rnacentral:rRNA from 1 species
CCUANGGGCGGCAGCAGUAGGGAAUAUUGCGCAAUGGGCGAAAGCCUGACGCAGCGACACCGUGUGAAGGAUGAAGAUUUUCGGAUCGUAAACUUCUGUCAAUUGGGGACGAAGGUAGUAGGGUUAAUAGCUUUUACUAUUGACGGUACCCAAUAAGGAAGUCUCGGCUUACUCCGUGCCAGCAGCCGCGGUAAGACGGGGGAGGCAAGCGUUGUCCGGAAUUAUUGGGCGUAAAGAGCGCGUAGGUGGUUUGUAAAGUCAUUUGUGAAAACUUUAGGCUUAACUUAAAGACUGCAAGUGAUACUGACAAACUUGAGUACAGUAGAGGAAAGUGGAAUUCCUGGUGUAGCGGUGAAAUGCGCAGAUAUCAGGAAGAACACCAGUGGCGAAGGCGGCUUUCUGGGCUGUUACUGACACUGAGGCGCGAAAGCUAGGGGAGCGAACAGGAUUAGAUACCCGUNUANUC